rnacentral:rRNA from 1 species
AACGAACGCUGGCGGCAGGCUUAACACAUGCAAGUCGAACGGUCUCUUCGGAGGCAGAGGCAGACGGGUGAGUAACGCGUGGGAAUCUACCCAGUUCUGCGGAACAACAGUUGGAAACGACUGCUAAUACCGCAUACGCCCUACGGGGGAAAGAUUUAUCGGAAUUGGAUGAGCCCGCGUAAGAUUAGCUAGUUGGUGAGGUAAUGGCUCACCAAGGCGACGAUCUUUAGCUGGUCUGAGAGGAUGAUCAGCCACACUGGGACUGAGACACGGCCCAGACUCCUACGGGAGGCAGCAGUGGGGAAUAUUGGACAAUGGGCGCAAGCCUGAUCCAGCCAUGCCGCGUGAGUGAUGAAGGCCUUAGGGUUGUAAAGCUCUUUCAGUGGGGAAGAUAAUGACGGUACCCACAGAAGAAGCCCCGGCUAACUUCGUGCCAGCCGCCGCAGUAACAC